CCUCUGUCAGCAGGUCCUCUCCCCUGUUGCCAUGGAGACCCCACCGGGGCUUACUAAAGGUAUUUCCUGAAGAGAAAGGCAGAGCACACAUGCCCGGCAGCCCCGCUAAUCCCGACAGGAAGCCAUCGCCAUUCAGCAGCCCGGGGGCUCGGCGGCUCGGAACUGGAGACAGUGGAUUCCCUUGAAACAACAAAGAAAAGUCAAGAGAACCUUAGGGAGCUUUCUCCUCCAAAGGUCACCACCCUGCUUCCACCUCUUCUUCAUCAGCUCUAAGACAGCCUGGAAGAGCAGGGACAAACUACCCCUCCAACGCUCAACACCAAAAAGUCUGCAGCCAGGAGGGGACAGAAGAGAACUCAGUGGAGCCUUCACACUGCAGACAGCCUGAAACUUUCCACUCUUCCUCUACAGCACCAUCUUAUUCUAGGAAUAAAAGUGUAACCAGGCUGUGAAUCCCAUGUGGGACA